AACGAACGCUGGCGGCAGGCCUAACACAUGCAAGUCGAGCGGACAUCUUCGGAUGUUAGCGGCGGCCGGGUGAGUAACGCGUGGGAACGUGCCCUUUGCUUCGGAAUAGCCUCGGGAAACUGGGAGUAAUACCGGAUGUACCCUUUGGGGGAAAGAUUUAUCGGCAAAGGAUCGGCCCGCGUUGGAUUAGGUAGUUGGUGGGGUAAUGGCCUACCAAGCCGACGAUCCAUAGCUGGUUUGAGAGGAUGAUCAGCCACACUGGGACUGAGACACGGCCCAGACUCCUACGGGAGGCAGCAGUGGGGAAUCUUAGACAAUGGGGGAAACCCUGAUCUAGCCAUGCCGCGUGAGCGAUGAAGGCCUUAGGGUUGUAAAGCUCUUUCACCGGGGAAGAUAAUGACGGUAACCGGAGAAGAAGCCCCGGCUAACUCCGUG
rnacentral:rRNA from 1 species